CUCAGGUUGUAAACUCCUUUGUGGGGGCGAAUAAGGUCAGUAGGAAAUAGCAGAUCGAUGACGGUACCCCAGGAACAAGCGCCGGCUAACUUGUGCCAGCAGCCGCGGUAAUACGAAGGGCGCAAGCGAUAUCCGGAAUUCUGGGCGUAAAGGGCGUCUAGGCGGUCGGUCAAGUCAGUCGUGAAAGUCCUUGGCUUAACUGAGGAAAGUCGGCCGAUACUGAUCGACUAGAGGGACGUAGAGGUAAGCGGAACUCUCGGAGUAGCGGUGAAAUGCGUAGAGACCGAGAGGUACCCCGAUGGUGAAAACAGCUUACUGGGCGUCUCCUGACGCUGAAGCGCUAAGGCCAGGGGAGCGAAGGGGAUUAGAUACCCCCGUAGUCCUGGCUUCAAACUAUGUGGGCGGAUGUCGGCUCCCGAUAGAGGGAUGUUCCCGGAAUAGCCGUUUUAGCACACCCAGCUCUAAUCGUUACGCAAGGAUGAAACGCAUGACCUUCACGG
rnacentral:rRNA from 1 species